UACGUAGGUGGCAAGCGUUAUCCUGAAUUAUUGGGCGUAAAGAGCGCGCAGGUGGUUGAUUAAGUCUGAUGUGAAAGCCCACGGCUUAACCGUGGAGGGUCAUUGGAAACUGGUCGACUUGAGUGCAGAAGAGGGAAGUGGAAUUCCAUGUGUAGCGGUGAAAUGCGUAGAUAUAUGGAGGAACACCAGUGGCGAAGGCGACUUUCUGGUCUGUGACUGACACUGAGGCUCGAAAGCGUGGGGAGCAAACAGGAUUA
rnacentral:rRNA from 1 species